GGGCGCUUAGCUCAGCUGGUUCAGAGCGUCUGCCUUACAAGCAGAGGGUCGGGGGUUCGAAUCCCUCAGCGCCCACAA
rnacentral:tRNA from 8 species